CCUACGGGUGGCUGCAGUGAGGAAUAUUGGUCAAUGGGCGCGAGCCUGAACCAGCCAAGCAGCGUGAAGGAUGACUGCCCUACGGGUUUUAAACUCCUUUUAUAAAGGAAUAAAGUGAGGCACGUUUGCCUUUUUGUAUGUACUUUAUGAAUAAGGAUCGGCUAACUCCGUGCCAGCAGCCGCGGUAAUACGGAGGAUCCGAGCGUUAUCCGGAUUUAUUGGGUUUAAAGGGAGCGUAGAUGGGUUGUUAAGUCAGUUGUGAAAGUUUGCGGCUCAACCGGAAAAUUGCAAUUGAAACUGGCAGUCUAGAGUACAGUUGAGGUAGGCGGAAUUCGUGGUGUAGCGGUGAAAUGCUUAGAGAUCACGAAGAACUCCGAUUGCGAAGGCAGCUUACUAAACUGCCACUGACAUUGAUGCUCGAAAGUGUGGGUAUCAAACAGGAUUAGAUACCCCUGUAGUC
rnacentral:rRNA from 1 species